rnacentral:tRNA from 1 species
GGAGAGGCGCGCCGACGGCUGGCGACGGCACCUGGCUUGAGUCCAGAUGGUCCGAAAGGGCCUUGGGAGUUCGAUCCUCCCCCUCUCCG